rnacentral:rRNA from 1 species
GAUCAUGGCUCAGAGUGAACGCUGGCGGCAGGCCUAAUACAUGCAAGUCGAACGGCAGCACAGUGGAGCUUGCUCCAUGGGUGGCGAGUGGCGGACGGGUGAGGAAUACAUGGGAAUCUGCCCAGUCGUGGGGAUAACGUAGGGAAACUUACGCUAAUACCGCAUGCGCCCUUCGGGGGAAAGCCGGGGACCGUAAGGCCUGGCGCGAUUGGAUGAGCCCAUGUCGGAUUAGCUAGUUGGCGGGUAAAGGCCCACCAAGGCGACGAUCCGUAGCUGGUCUGAGAGGAUGAUCAGCCACACUGGAACUGAGACACGGUCCAGACUCCUACGGGAGGCAGCAGUAGGGAAUAUUGGACAAUGGGCGCAAGCCUGAUCCAGCCAUGCCGCGUGAGUGAAGAAGGCCCUCGGGUUGUAAAGCUCUUUUGUCCGGAAAGAAAAGCGCCGGGUUAAUACCCUGGUGUCCUGACGGUACCGGAAGAAUAAGCACCGGCUAACUUCGUG